rnacentral:rRNA from 1 species
GGCGAACGGCUGAGUAACACGUGGGCAACCUGCCCUUUGCACUGGGAUAGCCUCGGGAAACCGAGGUUAAUACCGGAUACUCCAUAUUUGUCGCAUGGCGAAUAUGGGAAAGCUCCGGCGGCAAAGGAUGGGCCCGCGGCCUGUUAGCUAGUUGGUGGGGUAGUGGCCUACCAAGGCAAUGAUGGGUAGCCGGGUUGAGAGACCGACCGGCCAGAUUGGGACUGAGACACGGCCCAGACUCCUACGGGAGGCAGCAGNU